rnacentral:rRNA from 1 species
AACGAACGCUGGCGGCAUGCCUAACACAUGCAAGUCGAACGAGACCUUCGGGUCUAGUGGCGCACGGGUGCGUAACGCGUGGGAACCUGCCCUUAGGUUCGGAAUAACUCCCCGAAAGGGGUGCUAAUACCGGAUAAUGUCUUCGGACCAAAGAUUUAUUGCCUUUGGAUGGGCCCGCGUUGGAUUAGCUAGUUGGUAGGGUAAAAGCCUACCAAGGCGACGUUCCAUAGCUGGUCUGAGAGGAUGAUCAGCAACACUGGGACUGAGACACGGCCCAGACUCCUACGGGAGGCAGCAGUGGGGAAUAUUGGACAAUGGGCGAAAGACUGAUCCAGCAGUGUCGCGUGAGUGAUGAAGGCCUUAGGAUUGUAAAGCUCUUUUACCCGGGAUGAUAAUGACAGUAACGGGAGAAUAAGCUCCGGCUAACUACGUG